UACGUAGGGGCCUAGCGUUGUCCGGAUUUGAUUGGCGUAAAGAGCUCGUAGGCGGUUUGGUGAGUCGGGUGUGAAAUCUCCACGCGUCAACGUGGAGGGCCACCCGAUACUGCCAUGACUAGAGUCCGGUAGGGGAGUGUGGAAUUCCGGUGUAGCGGUGAAAUGCGCAGAUAUCAGGAGGAACACCGGUGGCGAAGGCGGGUCUCUGGGCCGAUACUGACUGAGGAGCGAAAGCGUGGGGAGCGAACAGG
rnacentral:rRNA from 1 species